GUAAGAUCUGUGCCUUCCGAAGAGGGUAGAGUCUUCUGGAGGGACAUUACAAAUAAUCAGGCACUCCCAGUGCUGGGAGCUAAGUUCUGUUACAGGGAAGAGAAAGAAACAAUGGGAAUACCAAGGAGGAUAUUUACAGAGGGGGAAGGCUUUGAGCUGAAAUUGAACGGUGAAUAAAGGCUGAGCAGCCAUGUAGAGACGGGGUUCCACCGUGUUAGCCAGGAUGGUCUCGAUUUCCUGACCUCGUCAUCCUCCCGCCUUGGCCUCCCAAAGUGCUGGGAUUACAGGCUUGAGCCACCGCGCCCCGCUCUUUCGUGUUCCAAAGGCUUUUUAAAUAAACUUCCACUCCUGUCCUGGAUUCUGCUUUAUGGCCCUCAGUCGAAUUCUUUCUUCUGAGGAGGCAAGGACUGAAGUUGCUUCUGACCAGUACAGAUUGGGAAGGAGAAAGUCACUUGACUCACAGGCCAACUGCUAUGGACUGAAUUGUGUCUUCCCCUCAUUAAUAUGUUGAAACCCUAUCCUCCCUCCAAUGUGAUGGUAUUUGCAGAUGGGGCUUUUGGGAAGUAAUGAAGUUUAGAUGAGGCAUGAGGGCUGGAUGGAUAUGAUCAGAUGAGUGCCCAAAGAAGAGACACCAGAGAGCUAGCUUCUUCUUUCUCUUUCCACCUUUACACACUGAGAAAAGGCCAAGUGAGCACACACCAAGAAGGCAGCCAUCUGCAAACCCAAGGAGAGAGUCCUCACUAGACACCCUGCUGGUACCUUGAUCUUGGACUUCUAGCCUCCAGAACUGUGAGAAAUAAAUUCCUGUUGUUCAAGCUA
rnacentral:lncRNA from 1 species